AGUAAAGUAGAGAAAGGACUAAUGGAGAAGGACGAACAGAGAAGAAGACGGAAUGAAUAAUGGUGCCAGACCUUGUUUCCCACCUCCUCAUGUGCUGACUUAAGUGGCAAAUAACGACUGUACUCCUGCGCUGUCUUGAGUCCUGUGUCGUAGCAACUAUGCUCGAGUGUCCAGUUGAGGAGGAGGAUGAUGACAAGAUGAUGACGAUGAAGCUCUGAACGCUCUCUAAAAUCCACACCACUGAAGUCUCUACUUACAGAGCACAAAGAACAGAACAGAGCUAUUGUUAUUAGUGACGCCGGACACGGGCGAGGUAAGAACAAUUACUAAGAGAAAUGC